GAUGAACGCUGGCGGCGUGCCUAAUACAUGCAAGUCGAACGCAUUGUGGUUGAAAUGAUAUGAAGAACUUGUUCAGAUUUGAUUUUCAACAUUGCAAUGAGUGGCGAACGGGUGAGUAACACGUGGGAAACCUACCUCUUAGCAGGGGAUAACAUUUGGAAACAAAUGCUAAUACCGUAUAAUAAUUAAAACCGCAUGGUUUUAGUUUAAAAGAUGGUCUUGCUAUCACUAAGAGAUGGUCCCGCGGUGUAUUAGUUAGUUGGUGAGGUAAUGGCUCACCAAGACAAUGAUACAUAGCCGAGUUGAGAGACUGACCGGCCACAAUGGGACUGAGACACGGCCCAUACUCCUACGGGAGGCAGCAGUAGGGAAUCUUCCACAAUGGACGAAAGUCUGAUGGAGCAACGCCGCGUGUGUGAUGAAGGGUUUCGGCUCGUAAAACACUAGUUGUAAGAGAAGAAUGACAUUGAGAGUAACUGUUCAAUGUGUGACGGUAUU
rnacentral:rRNA from 1 species